CGGCUCUGUAGGUGACAGGAAUAUAAAUUCGGCGUUUCCAGCGUAAGAGUAUCAAAGCAUUCUUAAUCCCUUUAACAUUAGCAGCUGUCUCUAAGACUAACGGUGCUCAACCUCACAAUGGCCUCAGAACGUCUCUUGUGCAAGGCUGGAUUGUUGGUCCUGGUGGCCUGUGUGAUACUGAAUCUCCAAGGAGCAGGUGAGAAAUCAUUCUGGGUUAUGAAAUCUGUUUCUCCAUAUUCUCCUAUUUUUCUAUGUGACUCUCUGUACCUGGGCAGCGUCAUUAGCUCAUUCUGUCUUUGUUACAAUAGGUUCCAUGCUAUCGAGAAGGGAUUUCACCAUAUUACACUUUCUUGUCUUUUCAUCUAAACUCAGUCUUUUUCAUGUAGUCUUUGCGUUUUAUUCUUUAAAAUUAGAAUUGUGGAAAAUCAACAAAGGAUUAACAAAUGUAUGCUGAAUGAACCAAGCAUAAAAAUAUAGAUAAUACGGAGACAGUUUCCAAACUGGAUAUUUGUUUUUAUGUAAAAUUAGCAAUACCAGUACCAGCAAUCCCUGUACCAAUACCAGCAAUACCGAUCCCCACAAUACAGGAUUGGGUAUUGGUUGAGCAUUCCGUGUAGGGAAGGAUAUACUAAAAUGUGUAUGUCUACUUCAGAAAUGGACUAUAUAUAACCAAUUUUUUAUAAGCAGGAACAUUCUCUCACAUGUUCUGAAGAAGAUUUAUAACUUUUACUCUUCCUCUUGUGACACUCAUUUCCUUUCAACUCACUUUGAACUUUAUCCUAUUCCUUUUGCUGCUCUUUCCGUAAAAUCAACAUACUGCACUAUGUCAUCCCUUUCCUUGUUUUCUCCACAUUCUUCUAUCAAUAAGAUACUGUGACACUAUUUGCAUAUCUGUAGACAGAAAAAAUAAACUUGAUCUACAGAUUUGUUGAGGCUUAUAAUGAAUAGGAGACAUGUUUGGUAUUCAGAAAUCCAUCUGCAUGCAUAUCUUACACGGUUUCUUCCUUUUUCCCAGUUUUGAAUUGUUUCUCGUCUUUAUCAUUCACUCAGCUAUGAGUAUGCACUGACUCGUGGACCCUAUCCCAACUUCACUCACAGACCAAUUUAGCUUGGUCUAACUCUCCCCUCUCGCUUCCCUCCAAAAUCACAGUGUAGUGAGAGACUUGAAGGAUUAUUCACUAAAAUGAGAAUUGAAUUAAAAGUCAAUUUGGAUUGUUCUCCUUGGCCUUUGUAUUGUCUUUUGUUCUGCAGACUGUAAUAAUAUUGCUAUUUGUGCUGUUCCCUUCUACAAUGUUAUUGAAAACGACCUUUACAAAUGCUACCAAAUUUCUUAAAAAUAAAUCAUUUCAAUAACUUUGAAAAUAAAAAAGUGAGUAUCAAAUAUAAGGUCAAAAUGACUGAACUAUAAAUAUUUUCCAGAUCAGCUCUGCUUUCAGUCUGUCUUCAUGAAUUUCACACCUUCAUGGUUCUUAAAGGGAUCCUAUAGUGCCAGGAAAACAAGGUUGUUUUCCUGGCACGAUAAGGUUAAUAGGACCCCCUAACAUUUCAAUGCUUUCCUAUAGGAAAAAUCUGACGCUGGAGGUCCUUGAGGUCGUCCAGCGUCAGAUAACGGACCAAAAGUCAGUUUGGAUUCCGGAAGCCCUCCAGGGGUUCUGGUAGACAACCACAGAGGGCAGACUUAGAGCUGCAAUGUAAGCAUGUUUUACAUGGCAGCACUAUGUGCAAAAAGGUCACAGCACCCAGACUACUUCAAUGAGCUGACAUGGUCUGGGUGCCCAGAGUGUUCCUUUAAUGUGUAUUUACUACAGGUAGAAUUCAAAGUGAAUUUCCAGUUUUAGCCCAAAGUAGCCAAACAUGAAGCACUUGACUUCAGUGAAUGUUUCCAAUCUUGAAAUUUGGGAAAUUGACUUUGAAAUUCUGAUUUAGUAAAUAACUGCUGUAUUGUUUGUGAAUCUAAAUCUUCCAGCAAUUCAUUGUAACUUAUUGUAACUCUUUAUCAUUGCAGACGCCCAGACAAACACCACCAGUACCGGUAUGUAUAAAACAUAUUAUGCAAGAAAUUACCAAGAGAUAGAAAGACAGGAGAAUGAUUAGUUCUAGGGGUGAUAGAGCCGCAUUGCAUGACCCAGUGACAGGACAUUGCAAGACACAGAGUCCAGGUGAAAUGGGGGAGGGGGACUUUAUCAUGUCUCAAUAAACAACAUUACUUUGUAUUUCUAAUACAGUUAUAAGAGAACCUAACCCCCAGAAUAUAUAAAUGUACCUCUCCGUACCUCCCAUCAAUUCAAAUGGUCAAAGAGGGACAUAUUGUGGCCAGGGGCAGGGCUGUCCUGAGAACCUUUAUCUGCCUAGCUAAUCGAACGUUAUGAAACUAAAGCGUGAUUCAGAAGAACAACGUAUCUUAUGUACACAGACUGAUUUCUAACAAUAUGGAACUCUUAGAAAAGAGGGACAGAGGGAUUUGGGCACAAAAUAAGGAUCUCUUAAAUAGGGACACUUGGGAGGUAUGCCAAUCUACCAGCUCUUAUCUGAAUACACAAUUAUUGAGACAAAGGAGACACAGCACAAUAUAUACCCCACUCCCUGAGCAAUACACAACACAAUGCUUAGUUUAGUUCAAGGCUAGCUGACUCAGCGUAAAGUGACUUGUAAUUCAGAAUUUGGCAUACUGCGUCCUCUGUCUUGGCCUGAGCGUAUUGCUGCAUAGGACAGUGACACAGAUUUAGGUGAGCGUGCGUCCUGUAAUAAUACGAUGUAAUAAUACGAUGUGUUUCUUGUUAGGCGUGCCUGGCUGGGGUGUAGCACUCUUAGUGUUAACCUCUCUUAUCCUCUCCUCCCUGCUCUGCAGUAUGUGCUGUUUGGUAAGUUUGUUUAACUCAGUCACCUGUCAUAACUAUUGCCUUCAACACAGCAAUUAAACUGGCAAACAGCGCCUCUCCUACAUGUUUAUAUGAGUAACAUUGUAUCGGCCUGCUCCAUUUCAUAGAGUCCUAUAAUUAUCUCCUGAUGUUGGAUCCCCACCAUAACUAUUGUAUAAACAAAUCCCGUGAUUUCUUUGCAUACUUUGCUGGGAGACCACUCCACGUAUCCACAACCCAUCACUGAUCCAUCUCUUUUUCCCCCGACAGAUAACUUCUAACAGGGGCAAUAGUCAUUUAACUUCAUUUUUCCUGAUUUUAAUGUGUAGAUUUCACUCACUGCUGAUCUACGUCAUAGAAAAUCGCUGCUAAUUGUAAAAAUGUGAAAUAAAUAAAUAUUAAGUUUAAAUAAAAGCAAACAAAGAAAAACCUCCUCAGGGUAGUGACCGGUUUAUACAGGAACAAGGGUCGUAAUGUUGUUCUUUGUAAUGUAGUUUAUGUUUAUGGAAACUAUCAGACAUUUUCUAUUGUUUUAAUUAAUGACAAUAUGUUCUAAUACCUUUUUUCUCAGCCCUUGCUGUGUAAAAGCCAUGGGGGAAGCAGUCACUGUGGAUUUUCACUCGGAAAGUAACGCUGAGGUUCUCCUGAAGAAGAAUUAUUUGCUCUGCUAUUUAAUAAUAUUUUAAUUUUUUUUGUUUAUUUUUGUGUAUUCAAAUCCUCCUGGUCUGUUAAUGCUAAGCCUUGUGGGUAAACCUUAUAUAUUUAAAGUGUCAAAUCCCUUUCUUUUAUUGUAGGCUACAAACUCUAAAACAGCUGCUAAUCUACCUAUUGAGAGGAUUAAGCAUAUUGAAAGUCAGUUUUUCAGAUUCCCAUAAAAGCUGUCCUGGUCAAUCUGAGCCAGUCAUCCCCAUCAGUCCUAUUAUUAAAUUACCGACUGAUACCAGCUGUGGGUAAGAUUGUGAAGCAGUUACUUUGCCAGCCAGGGCGGCCUUUGUAAGAUUAUUGCGUUUGCCAAUCUCUAUCAAUUGGACUAUGAAGUCGAUUGUUAAUCUGGCCAUUAAUAGGUUUCACAUUGAUAAUACAUACAAAUCAGAUUUGUUUCAGCCAAGUAAUAUAGAAGUACAAAGCUGUAGAAUAGAUUUUUAAAAAUACACUAAAUUGGCCCUUAGUAUUUACCCCUUAAUACAUAGCACCAAAUAAAUCAUGGCUACUUUUGGAUUUGAAAUGCAUUUUGGUUCCAUUAGCCACACUGUGUUUUUACUCUGCAAUGCAUUGUGGUCCCAAUAGCAAAUAUGCAUUAUUUACUCUGCAUUUGCAAUGCAUUGUGGUCCCAUCACCCACAAUCUGGUAGCCAUUCUGAGUUUGCAAUGCGUUGUGGUCCCAUCACCCACAAUCUGGUAGCCAUUCUGAGUUUGCAAUGCAUUGUGGUCCCAUCACCCACAAUCUGGUAGCCAUUCUGAGUUUGCAAUGCAUUGUGGUCCCAUCACCCACAAUCUAGUAGCCAUUCUGAGUUUGCAAUGCAUUGUGGUCCCAUCACCCACAAUCUAGUAGCCAUUCUGAGUUUGCAAUGCAUUGUGGUCCCAUCACCCACAAUCUGGUAGCCAUUCGGUCCCAUUAGUUACAUUCUAUCAGUUCAUUUUUAGUUAUUCUGAGUAUACAAAGCAUUCUGGUUCCAUCACCCAAAAUCAUUUAGUUCUGAGUUUGCAAUGUCUUGUGUUUCCAUUAGUUACAAUCUAUUACAUACUUUCAGUUUGCCAUGUGUCAUAGCCCCUUCACCCACAAUCUAUUACUUACUCUGAGUUUGCAAUGUGUUAUGGUACCAUCAGCCAGAAUGUUUUAGUGACACUUGGGUUGCAAUGCUUGUUGGUCCCCUUAGCUACAAUAGAUUAGUGAUUCUGAGAGUACAAUGCAUUCUGGUGCAAUUAGCCAUUAUUUUUUGAUUAUUCUCAAUUUGAAAUGCAUGCUGGUCCUAUUCACAACACUCUAUUAGUGAUAUUGAGAUUGCAAUGCACUCUCUCUGAGAGUCCAAUUUAUAACUAAUCUUGACUUGGCAACAUGUUUUCCAAUUCUAGUAACAUUAUACAAUACACAUUCUUUGGGAGGAACACAUUGUGGCCCCAUUUACCAUUAUCUUGUACCAGUUUACGAUUUGAAAUACAUAUUGGAUUCUUUCACUCCAACUGUUUCUAUAUGUUGGUCCCUUUAUCAUUUACUUCGCUUUCCGCUUGUUAUAUUGUUACAUCAAUUUAAUUUUAUUAUAAAGAGCGUUUACAGUAAAAUAUGUUUCAACACAGGAAUGUGAACUGAAAAAUAGGUGAUAUCCUGAGAAAUGUAUUCUAAAAUCUGUGUAAAAUAUAACUUAUUAAAAGAUAUUUUAAAUAAUUAAGAUUUGCACUUGUC